rnacentral:rRNA from 1 species
GACGAACGCUGGCGGCGUGCUUAACACAUGCAAGUCGAACGGAAAGGCCCUGCUUUUGUGGGGUGCUCGAGUGGCGAACGGGUGAGUAACACGUGAGUAACCUGCCCUUGACUUUGGGAUAACUUCAGGAAACUGGGGCUAAUACCGGAUAGGAGCUCCUGCUGCAUGGUGGGGGUUGGAAAGUUUCGGCGUUUGGGGAUGGACUCGCGGCUUAUCAGCUUGUUGGUUGGGUAGUGGCUUACCAAGGCUUGGACGGGUAGCCGGCCUGAGAGGGUGACCGGGCACAUUGGGACUGCGGUACGGCCCAGACUCCUACGGUAGGCAGCAGUGGGAAAUAUUGCACAAUGGGCGGAAGCCUGAUGCAGCAACGCCGCGUGCGGGAUGACGGCCUUCGGGUUGUAAACCGCUUUCGCCUGUGACGAAGCGUGAGUGACGGUAAUGGGUAAAGAAGCACCGGCUAACUACGUG